UCCUUGGUGGUCCAGUGGUUAAGACACCACACUUGCAGUGCACAGGUGUGGGUUCAAUCCCCAGUCAGGGAA
rnacentral:tRNA from 1 species